UGUCUCUAUUCUCAGCAUUUAGAUCAAUGUUCUACUCUGAGAUGCUGCUAUGUGGAUACGGUCCCUGGUCAAAAGCAGUGUAUUUUAUAGAGAACUGGGUUCCAUUUGGGUUGCAGCUGUAUUCAUAGUCAACCUAGUGACAGGAGUCUUCUCUGGUUGACCAUAUGACCUGACCAAGAACAACUCUGGGCCCUGAGUAAUAGGACACAGAUCCUCGUCAGUUGGAGAAGCAGGAGCAGCAACAGCCCACCUAUGUUGCCCUCAGCUACAUCAACAGGGGCGCAGCCAUGGGUAGACCCACCCACUAGGGAGCCAGACCCACCCACUAGGGAGCCAGACCCACCCAAUGGGGAGCCAG